UUUCAUUAGUGGAUCAUGGUCUCAGUUUUGCUACUCAACAAAUGCGUCCGUUCACACUCAGAACCCUCUCUUGUCGAACUACCUCAUCAAAUCACUGGGAUUCUCCAGAUAUGAAGCAAAUGUUGUAGCUGCCAAGUUGAACAGCGUGAAAGUACCUAAGAAUCCUGAUUUGGUAAUCAAAUUCUUCCAAGAGAUGGGUUUAGAACGGACAGAGAUCAAGAAAUUAGUUUCUAUUACACCGAGACUGCUUUUUUCUGAUGUAAACAGAACCCUUAAACCCAAGUUUCAGUGUCUGCGAG
rnacentral:misc_RNA from 1 species